GGGUUGUGAGGUUAAGCGACUAAGCGUACACGGUGGAUGCCCUGGCAGUCAGAGGCGAUGAAGGGCGUGCUAAUCUGCGAUAAGCGCCGGUAAGGUGAUAUGAACCGUUAUAACCGGCGAUACCCGAAUGGGGAAACCCAGUGUGAUUCGUCACACUAUCAUUAACUGAAUCCAUAGGUUAAUGAGGCGAACCGGGGGAACUGAAACAUCUAAGUACCCCGAGGAAAAGAAAUCAACCGAGAUUCCCCCAGUAGCGGCGAGCGAACGGGGAGGAGCCCAGAGCCUGAAUCAGCAUGUGUGUUAGUGGAAGCGUCUGGAAAGGCGCGCGAUACAGGGUGACAGCCCCGUACACAAAAGCGCAUGUGCUGUGAGCUCGAUGAGUAGGGCGGGACACGUGGUAUCCUGUCUGAAUAUGGGGGGACCAUCCUCCAAGGCUAAAUACUCCUGACUGACCGAUAGUGAACCAGUACCGUGAGGGAAAGGCGAAAAGAACCCCGGCGAGGGGAGUGAAAAAGAACCUGAAACCGUGUACGUACAAGCAGUGGGAGCACAGGUUUACCUGUGUGACUGCGUACCUUUUGUAUAAUG
rnacentral:rRNA from 1 species